rnacentral:rRNA from 1 species
AUUGAACGCUGGCGGCAGGCCUAACACAUGCAAGUCGAGCGGAUGAAGGGAGCUUGCUCCUGGAUUCAGCGGCGGACGGGUGAGUAAUGCCUAGGAAUCUGCCUUGUCGUGGGGGAUAACGUCCGGAAACGGGCGCUAAUACCGCAUACGUCCUGAUGUAGAAAGUGGGGGAUCUUCGGACCUCACGCUAUCAUAUGAGCCUAGGUCGGAUUAGCUAGUUGGUGGGGUAAAGGCCUACCAAGGCGACGAUCCGUAACUGGUCUGAGAGGAUGACCAGUCACACUGGAACUGAGAAACGGUCCAGACUCCUACGGGAGGAAGCAGUGGGGAAUAUUGGACGAUGGGGGAAAGGCUGAUACAGCCAUGCCGCGUGUGUGAAGAAGGUCUUCGGAUUGUAAAGCACUUUAAGUUGGGAGGAAGGACAGUAAGUUAAUACCUUGCUGUUUUGACGUUACCAACAGAAUAAGCACCGGCUAACUUCGUG